GAACUUUUGAAAGAUGUACUAGAUCGGUAUAAAACCAUGAGGUGGACAUUCUAAGUAAAUCACUUCGAUUGAUUACUCAAACUGAUUCACUUUGAUUGUCCACCUUAUGCUUUUGAAUCUAUCCAGUACGUAAUUCGGAACUUC